AGCGAACGCUGGCGGCGUGCCUAACACAUGCAAGUCGAACAUGAAAGGGAGCAAUCCCAAGUAAAGUGGCGUACGGGUGAGUAACACGUAGGUAAUCUACCCCAGAAUCUGGAAUAACCGGCCGAAAGGCUGGCUAAUACUGGAUAGAGCGACGGAAUCCGUAAUUGGGUUUUUCGGGAAAGGGAGCCUGUAAAAAGGCCUUCGUUCUGGGAUGAGCCUGCGUCCCAUCAGCUAGUUGGUGAGGUAAAAGCUUACCAAGGCAAUGACGGGUAGCUGGUCUGAGAGGACGAUCAGCCACACUGGAACUGAAACACGGUCCAGACUCCUACGGGAGGCAGCAGUGGGGAAUCUUGCGCAAUGGACGAAAGUCUGACGCAGCAACGCCGCGUGAGUGAAGAAGGCCUUCGGGUUGUAAAGCUCUGUCGAGUGGGACGAAAAUGCUUGGAGUUCACAGCUCCAGGAACUGACGGUACCACUAAAGGAAGCACCGGCUAACUCCGUG
rnacentral:rRNA from 1 species